CCUACGGGAGGCAGCAGUGAGGAAUAUUGGUCAAUGGACGAGAGUCUGAACCAGCCAAGUAGCGUGAAGGAUGACUGCCCUAUGGGUUGUAAACUUCUUUUAUAUGGGAAUAAAAUGUUCCACGUGUGGGAUUUUGUAUGUCCAAUAUGAAUAAGGAUCGGCUAACUCCGUGCCAGAAGCCGCGGUAAUACGGGGGAUCCGAGCGUUCUCCGGAUUUAGUGGGUUUAAAUGGAGCGUAGGUGGAUUGUUAAGUCAGUUGUGAAAGUUUGCGGCGCAACCGUAAAAUUGCAGUUGACACUGGCAGUCGUGAGUACAGUAGAGGUGGGCGGAAUUCGUGGUGUAGCGGUGAAAUGCUUAGAUAUCACGAAGAACUCCGAUUGCGAAGGCAGCUCACUGGACUGCAACUGACACUGAGGCUCGAAAGUGUGGGUAUCAAACAGGAUUAGAUACCCGAGUAGUC
rnacentral:rRNA from 1 species